UGGGGAAUAUUGCACAAUGGGCGCAAGCCUGAUGCAGCCAUGCCGCGUGUGUGAAGAAGGCCUUCGGGUUGUAAAGCACUUUCAGCGAGGAGGAAGGGUUCAGUGUUAAUAGCACUGUGCAUUGACGUUACUCGCAGAAGAAGCACCGGCUAACUCCGUGCCAGCAGCCGCGGUAAUACGGAGGGUGCAAGCGUUAAUCGGAAUUACUGGGCGUAAAGCGCACGCAGGCGGUUUGUUAAGUCAGAUGUGAAAUCCCCGCGCUUAACGUGGGAACUGCAUUUGAAACUGGCAAGCUAGAGUCUUGUAGAGGGGGGUAGAAUUCCAGGUGUAGCGGUGAAAUGCGUAGAGAUCUGGAGGAAUACCGGUGGCGAAGGCGGCCCCCUGGACAAAGACUGACGCUCAGGUGCGAAAGCGUG
rnacentral:rRNA from 1 species